AAGAAAAUGACAGAGGGGUUAUGUGGCUGACUUGAAAUCAGUUUAUGGAGGUUCGACUCCUCCUUUUCUCG
rnacentral:tRNA from 1 species